AUCGAACGCUGGCGGCAGGCCUAACACAUGCAAGUCGAACGAGUGGCGGACGGGUGAGUAAUGUCUGGGCAACUGCCCGAUGGAGGGGGAUAACUACUGGAAACGGUAGCUAAUACCGCAUACCAUCGGAUGUGCCCAGAGGGGAUUAGCUAGUAGGUGGGGUAACGGCUCACCUAGGCGACGAUCCCUAGCUGGUCUGCGAGGAUGACCAGCCACACGGGGACUGAGAAACGGUCCAGACUCCUACGGGAGGAAGCAGUGGGGAAUAUUGCACAAUGGGCGCAAGCCUGAUGCAGCCAUGCCGCGUGUAUGAAGAAGGCCUUCGGGUUGUAAAGUACUUUCAGCAAGGAGGCGUUACUCGCAGAAGAAGCACCGGCUAACUCCGUGCCAGCAGCCGCGGUAAUUC
rnacentral:rRNA from 1 species